GAGCUAGAUAUAUAUAGCUUAAUAAAAUCGCUUUCAGGGUCCGUAAAGGUGACCCUUUCCCUUCUUUAGUAUGGAAUCUUCUCUCUCUUGUAUUCUGUAAUAGAUAUGGUGCAAUAACAUAGAUAAAGUGUCUUAUGGUGAGUAAGGUAAAUAGGGUACUUACAAACCCAGAGCCAUUCACAUCGGCUCUGAUCCAAUAGUGUAUGCGGUUAAGGACCACAAUCCUUGUUUUCAAA